CAGAAUCGCCAUGGCCAGCUAUCCGUACCGGCAGGGCUGCCCAGGAGCUGCAGGACAAGCACCAGGAGCCCCUCCGGGUAGCUACUACCCUGGACCCCCCAAUAGUGGAGGGCAGUAUGGCAGUGGGCUACCCCCUGGUGGUUAUGGGGGUCCUGCCCCUGGAGGGCCUUAUGGACCACCAGCUGGUGGAGGGCCUUAUGGACACCCCAGUCCUGGCAUGUUCCCCUCUGGAACUCCAGGAGGACCAUAUGGCGGUGCAGCUCCAGGGGGCCCCUAUGGUCAGCCACCUCCAAGUUCCUAUGGUGCCCAGCAGCCUGGGCCUUAUGGACAGGGUGGCGCCCCUCCCAAUGUGGAUCCUGAGGCCUACUCCUGGUUCCAGUCGGUGGACUCAGAUCACAGUGGCUAUAUCUCCAUGAAGGAGCUAAAGCAGGCCCUGGUCAACUGCAAUUGGUCCUCAUUCAAUGAUGAGACCUGCCUCAUGAUGAUAAACAUGUUUGACAAGACCAAGUCAGGCCGCAUCGAUGUCUACGGCUUCUCAGCCCUGUGGAAAUUCAUCCAGCAGUGGAAGAACCUCUUCCAGCAGUAUGACCGGGACCGCUCGGGCUCCAUUAGCUACACAGAGCUGCAGCAAGCUCUGUCCCAAAUGGGCUACAACCUGAGCCCCCAGUUCACCCAGCUUCUGGUCUCCCGCUACUGCCCAUGCUCUGCCAAUCCUGCCAUGCAGCUGGACCGCUUCAUCCAGGUGUGCACCCAGCUGCAGGUGCUGACAGAGGCCUUCCGGGAGAAGGACACAGCUGUACAAGGCAACAUUCGGUGCUGCUUCGAGGACUUCGUCACCAUGACAGCUUCUCGGAUGCUAUGACCCAACCCAUCUGUGGAGAGUGGAGUGCACCAGGGACCUUUCCUGGCUUCUUAGAGUGAGAGAAGCCAUCCUGUCACACGAGCCCAUUUUCUCCAAAGUGGAAUCUGACCAAGCAUGAGAGAGAUCUGCCCAUGGGACCAGUGGCUUGGAUUCCACCACACCCAUAAAUCCUUGUGUGUUAACUUCUAACUGCCUGGGGCUGGCCCUGCUCAGACAAAUCUGCUCCCUGGGCCCCUCUGGCCAGGCUCUGCCUCCGCGGCUGGGACCCCUCACUUGCCUGCCAUGCCCUGCUCGGCUUCAGUCUCCAGGGGACAGUGGGCACCUCUCUCUGCCAAUACUUUUUUUAAUUUGCAUUUUUUUUCAUUUGGGGCCAAAAGUCCAGUGAAAUUGUAAGCUUCAAUAAAAGGAUGAAACUCU